rnacentral:lncRNA from 1 species
CCUGACGUCAUCCAACAGGAAGCGUCAGCCCUGAGGGAGGAGACAGAAGCCUGGGCCAGGCCACACGAGUCCCUGGCCCGGGAGGAGGCCCUCACUGCACUUGGGAAGCUCCUGUACCUCUUAGAUGGGAUGCUGGAUGGGCAGGUGAACAGUGGUAUAGCAGCCACUCCAGCCUCUGCUGCAGCAGCCACCCUGGAUGUGGCUGUUCGGAGAGGCCUGUCCCACGGAGCCCAGAGGCUGCUGUGCGUGGCCCUGGGACAGCUGGACCGGCCUCCAGACCUCGCCCAUGACGGGUAGGACUCUCAGGUCUUGCAUAUGUCCAGCCAUGCAUGUGGACGGGCAUGUGAUGGACGUGUGCCUGGGCCCCAGGGUGACGGGUGGGUGGGGCACUGUGUGGUACUGAAUGGAGCCUUCCUCAGCUGGGGUGUGGGAGAAGGGCUGCUGGAGGCAAUGCCAGGUGGGUCUCCAGCACAGAGGCUCAGCAGUCACAGCACCCCUGCCCAUGGCCCCGUGAAUGCUCUUCCACCUCUGCCUCUGCGGUUUGGGCUCAGGAGGGUGAGCAGGGCCUUACACUUAUGCACCUGUGUCCUGGAAGGAGGAGUCUGUGGCUGAACAUCAGGGGCAAGGAGGCGGCUGCCCUAUCCAUGUUCCAUGUCUCCACGCCACUGCCAGUGAUGACCGGUGGUUUCCUGAGCUGCAUCUUGGGCUUGGUGCUGCCCCUGGCCUAUGGCUUCCAGCCUGACCUGGUGCUGGUGGCGCUGGGGCCUGGCCAUGGCCUGCAGGGCCCCCACGCUGCACUCCUGGCUGCAAUGCUUCGGGGGCUGGCAGGGGGCCGAGUCCUGGCCCUCCUGGAGGAGGUAAGCUGGGCAGGGUGGAGGUGCUGCGGGGUGGGACGAGGGAAAGGACCAGUGACUGCUUCCGUCUUCGCCCCUGGUCCAGAACUCCACACCCCAGCUAGCAGGGAUCCUGGCCCGGG